rnacentral:rRNA from 1 species
UGGCGGCAGGCCUAACACAUGCAAGUCGAGCGGCAGCACGGGUACUUGUACCUGGUGGCGAGCGGCGGACGGGUGAGUAAUGCCUAGGAAUCUGCCUGGUAGUGGGGGAUAACGCUCGGAAACGGACGCUAAUACCGCAUACGUCCUACGGGAGAAAGCAGGGGACCUUCGGGCCUUGCGCUAUCAGAUGAGCCUAGGUCGGAUUAGCUAGUUGGUGAGGUAAUGGCUCACCAAGGCGACGAUCCGUAACUGGUCUGAGAGGAUGAUCAGUCACACUGGAACUGAGACACGGUCCAGACUCCUACGGGAGGCAGCAGUGGGGAAUAUUGGACAAUGGGCGAAAGCCUGAUCCAGCCAUGCCGCGUGUGUGAAGAAGGUCUUCGGAUUGUAAAGCACUUUAAGUUGGGAGGAAGGGCAUUUACCUAAUACGUAAGUGUUUUGACGUUACCGACAGAAUAAGCACCGGCUAACUCUGUGCCAGCAGCCGCGGUAAUACAGAGGGUGCAAGCGUUAAUCGGAAUUACUGGGCGUAAAGCGCGCGUAGGUGGUUUGUUAAGUUGGAUGUGAAAUCCCCGGGCUCAACCUGGGAACUGCAUUCAAAACUGACAAGCUAGAGUAUGGUAGAGGGUGGUGGAAUUUCCUGUGUAGCGGUGAAAUGCGUAGAUAUAGGAAGGAACACCAGUGGCGAAGGCGACCACCUGGACUGAUACUGACACUGAGGUGCGAAAGCGUGGGGAGCAAACAGGAUUAGAUACCCUGGUAGUCCACGCCGUAAACGAUGUCAACUAGCCGUUGGGAGCCUUGAGCUCUUAGUGGCGCAGCUAACGCAUUAAGUUGACCGCCUGGGGAGUACGGCCGCAAGGUUAAAACUCAAAUGAAUUGACGGGGGCCCGCACAAGCG